rnacentral:ncRNA from 2 species
AAUCGAACCAGCGGGAGCCAGGUAAAGGCUGAGAGGGCGCAUGGCGCCGACCGCAAGAACCUGAACUGGGUAAUGCCAGCGGAGGGAGAGUUUGAGCAACGUUG